rnacentral:rRNA from 1 species
UACGUAGGGGCUAGCGUUAUCCGGAAUUACUGGGCGUAAAGGGUGCGUAGGUGGUUUCUUAAGUCAGAGGUGAAAGGCUACGGCUCAACCGUAGUAAGCCUUUGAAACUGGGAAACUUGAGUGCAGGAGAGGAGAGUGGAAUUCCAUGUGUAGCGGUGAAAUGCGUAGAGAUAUGGAGGAACACCAGUGGCGAAGGCGGCUUCCUGGUCUGUAACUGACACUGAGGCGCGAAAGCGUGGGGAGCAAACAGGAUUAGAUACCCUGUAGUCCCUGA